AGCAGUUUUGAUUAUGGCUCAGGAUGAACGCUGGCGGCGUGCUUAACACAUGCAAGUCGAACGGAAAGGCUCAAGCUUGCUUGGGUACUCGAGUGGCGAACGGGUGAGUAACACGUGGGUGAUCUGCCCUGCACUUUGGGAUAAGCCUGGGAAACUGGGUCUAAUACCGGAUAGGACCAUCGUUUAKUGUCGGUGGUGGAAAGUUUUUCGGUGUGGGAUGAGCUCGCGGCCUAUCAGCUUGUUGGUGGGGUAAUGGCCUACCAAGGCGUCGACGGGUAGCCGGCCUGAGAGGGUGUACGGCCACAUUGGGACUGAGAUACGGCCCAGACUCCUACGGGAGGCAGCAGUGGGGAAUAUUGCACAAUGGGCGCAAGCCUGAUGCAGCUACGCCGCGCGGGGGAUGACGGCCUUCGGGUUGUAAACUCCUUUCGCCUAGGACUAAGAGGAAUUGACGGUACUUGKAUAAGAAGCACCUGCUAACUACGUGCCAGCCGCCGCGGUAAUACUNAGGGUGCGAGCGUUGUACCGUGAAUUACUGGGCGU
rnacentral:rRNA from 1 species